rnacentral:rRNA from 1 species
CGAGCGAACGGACGAGAAGCUUGCUUCUCUGAUGUUAGCGGCGGACGGGUGAGUAACACGUGGAUAACCUACCUAUAAGACUGGGAUAACUUCGGGAAACCGGAGCUAAUACCGGAUAAUAUUUUGAACCGCAUGGUUCAAAAGUGAAAGACGGUCUUGCUGUCACUUAUAGAUGGAUCCGCGCUGCAUUAGCUAGUUGGUAAGGUAACGGCUUACCAAGGCAACGAUGCAUAGCCGACCUGAGAGGGUGAUCGGCCACACUGGAACUGAGACACGGUCCAGACUCCUACGGGAGGCAGCAGUAGGGAAUCUUCCGCAAUGGGCGAAAGCCUGACGGAGCAACGCCGCGUGAGUGAUGAAGGUCUUCGGAUCGUAAAACUCUGUUAUUAGGGAAGAACAUAUGUGUAAGUAACUGUGCACAUCUUGACGGUACCUAAUCAGAAAGCCACGGCUAACUACGUGCCAGCAGCCGCGGUAAUACGUAGGUGGCAAGCGUUAUCCGGAAUUAUUGGGCGUAAAGCGCGCGUAGGCGGUUUUUUAAGUCUGAUGUGAAAGCCCACGGCUCAACCGUGGAGGGUCAUUGGAAACUGGAAAACUUGAGUGCAGAAGAGGAAAGUGGAAUUCCAUGUGUAGCGGUGAAAUGCGCAGAGAUAUGGAGGAACACCAGUGGCGAAGGCGACUUUCUGGUCUGUAACUGACGCUGAUGUGCGAAAGCGUGGGGAUCAAACAGGAUUAGAUACCCUGGUAGUCCACGCCGUAAACGAUGAGUGCUAAGUGUUAGGGGGUUUCCGCCCCUUAGUGCUGCAGCUAACGCAUUAAGCACUCCGCCUGGGGAGUACGACCGCAAGGUUGAAACUCAAAGGAAUUGACGGGGACCCGCACAAGCGGUGGAGCAUGUGGUUUAAUUCGAAGCAACGCGAAGAACCUUACCAAAUCUUGACAUCCUUUGACAACUCUAGAGAUAGAGCUUUCCCCUUCGGGGGACAAAGUGACAGGUGGUGCAUGGUUGUCGUCAGCUCGUGUCGUGAGAUGUUGGGUUAAGUCCCGCAACGAGCGCAACCCUUAAGCUUAGUUGCCAUCAUUAAGUUGGGCACUCUAAGUUGACUGCCGGUGACAAACCGGAGGAAGGUGGGGAUGACGUCAAAUCAUCAUGCCCCUUAUGAUUUGGGCUACACACGUGCUACAAUGGACAAUACAAAGGGCAGCGAAACCGCGAGGUCAAGCAAAUCCCAUAAAGUUGUUCUCAGUUCGGAUUGUAGUCUGCAACUCGACUACAUGAAGCUGGAAUCGCUAGUAAUCGUAGAUCAGCAUGCUACGGUGAAUACGUUCCCGGGUCUUGUACACACCGCCCGUCACACCACGAGAGUUUGUAACACCCGAAGCCGGUGGAGUAACCUUUUAGGAGCUAGCCGUCGAAGGUGGGACAAAUGAUUGGGGUGAAGUCGUAACAAGGUAGCCGUAUCGGAAGGUGCGGCUGGAUCACCUCCUUU